CGCGGCCUAUCAGCUUGUUGGUGGGGUAAAGGCCUACCAAGGCGACGACGGGUAGCCGGCCUGAGAGGGCGACCGGUCACACUGGGACUGAGACACGGCCCAGACUCCUACGGGAGGCAGCAGUAGGGAAUAUUGCGCAAUGGACGAAAGUCUGACGCAGCAACGCCGCGUGAGGGAUGAAGUACAUCGAGAUGUAAACCUCUUUCAGCAGGGACGAAGCUAACGUGACGGUACCUGCAGAAGAAGCACCGGCUAACUACGUGCCAGCAGCCGCGGUAAUACGUAGGGUGCAAGCGUUGUCCGGAUUUAUUGGGCGUAAAGGGCUCGUAGGCGGUCUGUCGCGUCGGAUGUGAAAACUCGGAGCUUAACUCCGGGCCUGCAUUCGAUACGGGCAGACUAGAGUUCGGUAGGGGAGACUGGAAUUUCUGGUGUAGCGGUGGAAUGCGCAGAUAUCAGGAAGAACACCGAUGGCGAAGGCAGGUCUCUGGGCCGACACUGACGCUGAGGAGCGAAAGCAUGGGGAGCGAACAGGAUUAGAUACCCUGGUAGUCCACACCGUAAACGUUGGGCGCUAGGUGUGGGGUCCAUUCCACGGAUUCCGUGCCGCAGCUAACGCAUUAAGCGCCCCGCCUGGGGAGUACGG
rnacentral:rRNA from 1 species